AUAUUGGAUAAAUUUAACAUAGUAAUGUUACUUGCAGAAAAUAUACAGAAAAUUUUUUUUUUGAGAAAUUUUCAUUUAUUCUGUUGGGAAAGUCCCCGAGAUAAACGAUUAUUAUUAUAAAAGUUUUUUUAGGAAAGCUAAUAACUUAAUAAGUUAUUUAUCUUAUAAAUUCUUUGUAAAUUAUUGAUUAUAUACAAAGUUAUAUUUAAAAUGCGAGUUAAAUGUAACAUGUGCCUU
rnacentral:RNase_MRP_RNA from 1 species